ACGGCGUUGUCGGUUGGGCGUGACUCCUUGCACCUCGUAGGUACGACCCUAUCUCGCAACCCCCAGAUUC
rnacentral:snoRNA from 1 species